AGCUCCAAUAGCGUAUAUUAAAGUUGCUGCAGUUAAAAAGCUCGUAGUUGGAUUUCUGGCUUGUAAUAUCUUGCCGGCCACGGUUUCGUGUGUUAGUGCAUGAUGUUCUGGCCAUCCUUCCAAUUGCUGCUCACUUCUCUUCACUGAUUAGUGAGUAGUAUUGGAUCUUUUACUUUGAAAAAAUUAGAGUGUUUAAAGCAGGCUAUUGCUAUGAAUACAUUAGCAUGGAAUAAUAAUUUAGGACUUCGGUCUAUU
rnacentral:rRNA from 1 species